rnacentral:rRNA from 1 species
GUUCCCUUGAGGAGUGGCUUCCGGAGCUAACGCGUUAAGUCGACCGCCUGGGGAGUACGGCCGCAAGGUUAAAACUCAAAUGAAUUGACGGGGGCCCGCACAAGCGGUGGAGCAUGUGGUUUAAUUCGAUGCAACGCGAAGAACCUUACCUACUCUUGACAUCCACAGAAUUUGGCAGAGAUGCCUUAGUGCCUUCGGGAACUCUGAGACAGGUGCUGCAUGGCUGUCGUCAGCUCGUGUUGUGAAAUGUUGGGUUAAGUCCCGCAACGAGCGCAACCCUUAUCCUUUGUUGCCAGCGAUUCGGUCGGGAACUCAAAGGAGACUGCCGGUGAUAAACCGGAGGAAGGUGGGGAUGACGUCAAGUCAUCAUGGCCCUUACGAGUAGGGCUACACACGUGCUACAAUGGCGCAUACAAAGAGAAGCGACCUCGCGAGAGCAAGCGGACCUCACAAAGUGCGUCGUAGUCCGGAUCGGAGUCUGCAACUCGACUCCGUGAAGUCGGAAUCGCUAGUAAUCGUGGAUCAGAAUGCCACGGUGAAUACGUUCCCGGGCCUUGCACUCCCCGCCCGUCAAAA